GUGGAGUAGGGUGGGCCUCUAAUCCAACAAGACUGGUGUCCUUAAAAGAAGAGGGAAAUAUGGACACAGACAUAGACACAGAGGAAGAUGAUGUGAAGACACACAGGGAAAACAUCAUGUAAAGACAGGCUUGGAGUGGUGCACCUACAAGCCAACACAGAAUCACAGCAUCUCAGAGUUGGAAGGAAUUCUUCAUAUGACCACAUUGAUUUUUUUUUUCCUGUUGGUCGGCAUCAGAUUUGUGAAGGCCCCUGGAAGAUUGGAUGGUGCCUGCCUAUACGGAGGGCGGAUCUUCCCCUCCUCGUCCACUCAGACUCACAUGCAAGUCUCCUCUAGAAACACCCUUGCAGACACACCCCAAAAUGACACUUUUAGAGUGUCUUCGAAGAAGGUAAAUAUUGUUCCCAUUUUGUGGAUAAGAAAAAUGAGAACCAGAGCGAUCAAGGGCUUGCUCAAAAGUACUCAACCAGUUAAUGUCAGAGCUGGCACCUGAACUCAGGCCUCUACAACUCUAAAUGUUUUCAAUGAUAGCAGAAUUGCCUCUAAUGGCAAAACAUUGUAGAAUCAUAUUGAUGUUUCAGAUUAUAUUGCCAGUCGUACUUCGUUGAGCUAUGCUUGGUAAUGCCACUGCCAUCUUGGAAAGAAAAUAGAUGCUGAAGUUCCCCAUAGAUGCUGAACACUCAGAAAGUGCCAAUAGUUGCAUCGAUUUGAUUGUAUCUGCUACCUCAUUCCCUCUGAAACACCUGCAAAUAAAGGAAAAUAACUAA
ensembl:lncRNA LINC01641 long intergenic non-protein coding RNA 1641